AGCGAACGCUGGCGGCAGGCCUAAUACAUGCAAGUCGAACGGCUCUUCGGAGCAGUGGCGGACGGGUGAGUAACGCGUGGGAACGUGCCCUUUGGUUCGGAACAACACAGGGAAACUUGUGCUAAUACCGAAUGUGCCCUUCGGGGGAAAGAUUUAUCGCCAUUGGAGCGGCCCGCGUUGGAUUAGGUAGUUGGUGGGGUAAAGGCCUACCAAGCCUACGAUCCAUAGCUGGUCUGAGAGGAUGAUCAGCCACACUGGGACUGAGACACGGCCCAGACUCCUACGGGAGGCAGAAGUAGGGAAUCUUGCGCAAUGGGCGAAAGCCUGACGCAGCCAUGCCGCGUGAAUGAUGAAGGUCUUAGGAUUGUAAAAUUCUUUCACCGGGGAAGAUAAUGACGGUACCCGGAGAAGAAGCCCCGGCUAACUUCGUGCCAGCCGCCGCAGUAACAC
rnacentral:rRNA from 1 species